rnacentral:lncRNA from 1 species
CGAAACUAACGAAAAUAUCGGCGUCAUCAUGAGGACCAUUGCUGUUCUACUCGCUUUGUGCUUCCUGGUUGUCAUCGUGCACAGCCAAAAGAGAUGUCCUAAUAAUAAUACGUACGCAUGUCUAAAGGAAAGGAAUUGUCCGUCUCAACUGCGCACAAAUAAUGGCACUUGCAAGCGACAGAAAAGGGUGUGCUGCGAUGUUCGAAAGAAAAAUACCUGUCUUCUUUUUGGUGGAAGCUGCAAACCUGACAUAACAAAGUGCCGCAUGCUCAAGGAGGCAAGCAAGCACUGCGGUAAAAAUAUGAAAUGCUGCAUAUACCUGGAGUAGCAGCACACACCUGCAACGGCUAAUUCCUCAAUGUAUUUUAAAGCAUCACGGAAAAGUCACAAAUGUAUACCGGCUUGCUACUAGCAAUUGCUAAUUUUCACGUAAUCAAAGCGUGAUCGACAUAAAAUUAGGAGGAUCAGCAGCCAGCUUUCAAAUAUAUCUUUUUAUGAAUGGAUCAUAUUUGGAUUCUUUUCUUUUAUGAUACUUUCUAGA